UACGUAGGGUCCGAGCGUUGUCCGGAAUUAUUGGGCGUAAAGGGCUCGUAGGCGGUUCGUCACGUCGGGAGUGAAAACUCGGAGCUUAACUCCGAGCCUGCUUCCGAUACGGGCAGACUAGAGGUAGGCAGGGGAGAGCGCAACUCCUGGUGUAGCGGUGGAAUGCGCAGAUAUCAGGAGGAACACCAGCGGCGAAGGCGGGUCUCUGGGCAGUAACUGACGCUGAGGAGCGAAAGCGUGGGGAGCGAACAGG
rnacentral:rRNA from 1 species